UACGGGGGGGAGCAAGCGUUGUUCGGAUUUACUGGGCGUAAAGGGCGCGUAGGCGGCCUGUGCAAGUCAGUUGUGAAAUCUCCGGGCUUAACUCGGAACGGUCAACUGAUACUGCUCGGCUAGAGUGCGGAAGGGGCAACUGGAAUUCUCGGUGUAGUGGUGAAAUGCGUAGAGAUCCGGAGGAACACCAGUGGCGAAGGCGGCCCCCCUGGGCCGCGCCUGACGCUGAGACGCGAAAGCGCGGGGAGCGAACGGG
rnacentral:rRNA from 1 species